rnacentral:rRNA from 1 species
AACGAACGCUGGCGGCAUGCCUAACACAUGCAAGUCGAACGAGACCUUCGGGUCUAGUGGCGCACGGGUGCGUAACGCGUGGGAACCUGCCCUUAGGUUUGGAAUAACUCCCCGAAUGGGGUGCUAAUACCGGAUAUUGUCUUCGGUCCAAAGAUUUAUCGCCUUUGGAUGGGCCUGCGUUGGAUUAGCUAGUUGGUAGGGUAAAAGCCUAUCAAGGCUACGAUCCAUAGCUGGUUUGCGAGGAUGGUCAGCCACACUGGGACUGAGACACGGCCCAGACUCCUACGGGAGGCAGCAGUGGUGAAUAUUGGACAAUGGGCGAAAGCCUGAUCCAGCAAUGCCGCGUGAGUGAUGAAGGCCUUAGGGUUGUAAAGCUCUUUUACCCGGGAUGAUAAUGACAGUACCGGAAGAAUAAGCUCCGGCUAACUCCGU